CUUUUUGGAGAGUUUGAUCCUGGCUCAGGACGAACGCUGGCGGCGUGCCUAAUACAUGCAAGUCGAGCGGACUUGACGGAGCUUGCUCCGUUCAAGUUAGCGGCGGACGGGUGAGUAACACGUGGGCAACCUGCCCUGCAGAUUGGGAUAACUCCGGGAAACCGGGGCUAAUACCGAAUAAUAUCGAAGAUUUCAUGAUCUUCUUUUGAAAGAUGG
rnacentral:rRNA from 1 species